AUGAAGUGUUCUCAACAGUAUAAUUAUAAGACUUUAAUAGGUAUGACUGUGACUACACCAAGUGGAUGAUGAUACUUCUGUGAGAGGUGAGGGACAAACAUAAAGUGUCUAGUUUUCUGAAAUUCCUUAAACUGGCAAGCUUGACAUGCGAGAACAAACGAAACAAACAGACGAAUGGAUAGAAGUGGCGUCAUUGUUGGAUAUCCUCUUGGUGGACUCUGCGUGGUCAAGAGUGAUCGGUCUGCUAUACUUGUGAGUCCAGUAUGUUACACCAAGAAGAACUAUUCCUUGGGCUAAUUAAUUUAAAACUGUCCUUCUAAUUUAACAUUGUAUACCAUUGUCUCACUCAGUUGUCACGAACGUUUCCUAUCACUAUUUUUGUAUUAACAUGUUAUUUAUUGAAUUGAAUAAUAAUUGUUAUACCGA